UGGGAACAUACCUUUUGGUUCGGAACAACACAGGGAAACUUGUGCUAAUACCGGAUAAGCCCUUACGGGGAAAGAUUUAUCGCCGAAAGAUUGGCCCGCGUCUGAUUAGCUAGUUGGUGAGGUAAUGGCCCACCAAGGCUACGAUCAGUAGCUGGUCUGAGAGGAUGAUCAGCCACACUGGGACUGAGACACGGCCCAGACUCCUACGGGAGGCAG
rnacentral:rRNA from 1 species